AUUGUGUGAGUUAGGUUAUAGCGGGGCUAGGUAGGAGAAUGUGCCAGAAAUCUCGUUGCUUUGCCGAUCAAUACUUGGUUUUUGCUUAUUAUUUUCGAAAAAAAAUAGUAAAUCAUAAUGAUCGUGUUAUUGAACAAUAAUUCAUGACACAAGGAACACAAUAAUAUUAAUGAUUAUCAUAUAUACAAUGAAAAAACACUGCGACGCUGCAUGCCUAUAUAAGAGAGCCGGCCGGCUUGGCUCGACGCAUUCGUAAACAAACUUUCGUUCAGUUCGGACGCAGUGAACACCCGAAGACCCACCAACCAGUGAACAUACCUCUACUUCUUUUACGUGGUCCACGAGGCUGCUGACAAUACGACGUGAAAAUGUAGACGAGACGGAUUCGGUGCGGAGCGCGACAGUUUACCUGCACCCUGCGGGGUCGGUGCUUGAACAAUCCGUACGCAACCAUAAUAUCUGAUCUGAUUAGAGAGUUCGAAAUUUCUUCACACAUUUGAAGUAUUUAAGAAAAGCACUUCGAGUUAUAUGCAGUAGUUUAGAGCAGACUCGUAGUUUGAAGUCGAAUGAAUCGUCGGCUCCAUCUUAUCAAAAUGAAUAUACUCUACCACAAGAACAUAUGGAACUUCGGAAUUGAGAACGAAAAAUAACAGAAUCAAUACAGAACAGGAAAUAAAAGAAAAAAGGAACAUAAAAAGGCUCGAAAGAAAACGGAUCACUUUCCUAGCAUUUAUCGAGCAGCAUCGGGUGAGUCCUUUGCUCGGGACUCACCACCGAGCUCUUCUCUCCAUCUUUUUACCUUUUUGGGUGCCGUAAUAGUUAAAACACCAUCCGAAGAUAGACUCGAGGUAAUGUUGAUCACGUCGUGAGAUGGAGGCAAGACGUAUCUCCGUAUGAAUUGUCGGCUGACAAAUCCAUGCUCGUCUUGUCUCUCCUCGUGUUUUGCUUCGACAAUAACAUUAUUACCAACCGUCUUCACCGUAAUCUCUUCCGGUGAGAAUUGUUGAACGUCCAGUAUUACCUGCGGAGAUCAGAGCAGAAUAAUUGAGACAGGCCCGAAGUUUAAAAGUCGAGCAAAGGGAUAUAUCUUUUAUUGGAGCACGAUGUUACGUGUAAUGAAUAUGAUAUUUCAAAGAGGCAAUAAGAGAGAUCUGAACGACCGUUGAGAAACACAUCCAUUCCACAUCCGGUUCUGGCCUCUCGCAUCUUAUAUAUCAUUGAUAUUCUAUUAAAUCAUCAUUUAUUGCGAAAAUUUCAAAUAUCAAGCUUUUUCACACCGAUUCAGGGAAAGGCUAAUUCUUUUGAAUUAACGCCGCUUUAAGCAAACGAAGUUCGUCUUCGCCUGGUAUUGAAAACCUACGUUUAGAAUUAACACGUUAGGCAGUCUGUAUCUGUAUUUCGAAGUAACAGAUUUCCUUCUCUGAAAGAUCCCUAAAUGUCCAGUUAUUGGAUAUAAAUUUGCAGUCAGCUAUUAGCUACAAUACGCACAACCGUUUCUAAAAUCUUCUAUAUAAUCACUUUAAUAAAUAUUUGACAGAAAGAAGUAAAACACUGAAAAAUAUAAAAA